rnacentral:rRNA from 1 species
UACAGAGGUCCCAAGCGUUGUUCGGAUUCACUGGGCGUAAAGCGUGCGCAGGCGGUUUUGUAAGCCAGAUGUGAAAUCCCCGGGCUUAACCUGGGAAUGGCAUUUGGGACUGCAAGGCUUGAGUGCGGCAGAGGAGACUGGAAUUCCUGGUGUAGCAGUGAAAUGCGUAGAUAUCAGGAGGAACACCGAUGGCGAAGGCAGGUCUCUGGGCUGACACUGACGCUCAUGCACGAAAGCGUGGGGAGCAAACAGG